UACGUAGGUCCCGAGCGUUGUCCGGAUUUAUUGUGCGUAAAGCGAGCGCAGGUGGUUUAUUAAGUCUGGUGUAAAAGGCAGUGGCUCAACCAUUGUAUGCAUUGGAAACUGGUAGACUUGAGUGCAGGAGAGGAGAGUGGAAUCCCAUGUGUAGCGGUGAAAUGCGUAGAUAUAUGGAGGAACACCGGUGGCGAAAGCGGCUCUCUGGCCUGUAACUGACACUGAGGCUCGAAAGCGUGGGGAGCAAACAGG
rnacentral:rRNA from 1 species